rnacentral:rRNA from 1 species
CCAAACCCCUGUGACAUACCACUUGUUGCCUCGGCGGAUCAGCCCGCUCCCGGUAAAACGGGACGGCCCGCCAGAGGACCCCUAAACUCUGUUUCUAUAUGUAACUUCUGAGUAAAACCAUAAAUAAAUCAAAACUUUCAACAACGGAUCUCUUGGUUCUGGCAUCGAUGAAGAACGCAGCAAAAUGCGAUAAGUAAUGUGAAUUGCAGAAUUCAGUGAAUCAUCGAAUCUUUGAACGCACAUUGCGCCCGCCAGUAUUCUGGCGGGCAUGCCUGUUCGAGCGUCAUUUCAACCCUCAAGCACAGCUUGGUGUUGGGACUCGCGUUAAUUCGCGUUCCUCAAAUUGAUUGGCGGUCACGUCGAGCUUCCAUAGCGUAGUAGUAAAACCCUCGUUACUGGUAAUCGUCGCGGCCACGCCGUUAAACCCCAACUUCUGAAUGUUGACCUCGGAUCAGGUAGGAAUACCCGCUGAACUUAAGCAUAUCAAUAAGCGGAGGA